UACGAAGGGGGCUAGCGUUGCUCGGAAUUACUGGGCGUAAAGGGCGCGUAGGCGGAUAGUUUAGUCAGAGGUAAAAGCCCAGGGCUCAACCUUGGAACUGCCUUUGAUACUGGGUAUCUUGAGUAUGGAAGAGGUAAGUGGAAUUGCGAGUGUAGAGGUGAAAUUCGUAGAUAUUCGGAAGAACACCAGUGGCGAAGGCGGCUCACUGGCCCGGUACUGACGCUGAGGUGCGAAAGCGUGGGGAGCAAACAGG
rnacentral:rRNA from 1 species